CCUACGGGUGGCAGCAGUAAGGAAUAUUGGUCAAUGGGGGCAACCCUGAACCAGCCAUGCCGCGUGCAGGAAGACGGGCUCUGCAUUGUAAACUGCUUUUAUACCAGAAUAUGUAUGGUAAGAAUAAGGAUCGGCUAACUCCGUGCCAGCAGCCGCGGUAAUACGGAGGAUCCAAGCGUUAUCCGGAUUUAUUGGGUUUAAAGGGUGCGUAGGCGGCUUUUUAAGUCAGGGGUGAAAGACGGUGGCUCAACCAUCGCAGUGCCUUUGAUACUGAGAAGCUUGAUUAAACUUGAGGCAGGCGGAAUGUGACAAGUAGCGGUGAAAUGCAUAGAUAUGUCACAGAACACCGAUUGCGAAGGCAGCUUGCUAAGUUUAAUGACGCUGAGGCACGAAAGCGUGGGGAUCAAACAGGAUUAGAUACCCUAGUAGUC
rnacentral:rRNA from 1 species